AAAACGACUCUCGGCAACGGAUAUCUCGGCUCUCGCAUCGAUGAAGAACGUAGCGAACUGCGAUACUUGGUGCGAAUUGCAGAAUCCCGUGAACCAUCGAGUCUUUGAACGCAAGUUGCGCCCGAAGCCAUUAGGCCGAGGGCACGUCUGCCUGGGCGUCACGC
rnacentral:rRNA from 1 species